GUGCUGUGAUGAUGCCCUAAAAUUGUGGUUUCGGCUCUCUGAGAGUACCAUGAAGACCUGCAAUUCCUUGGCUGUGUCUGAGCAC
ensembl:snoRNA Snord92 small nucleolar RNA, C/D box 92